rnacentral:rRNA from 1 species
AGAGUGAACGCUGGCGGUAGGCCUAACACAUGCAAGUCGAACGGCAGCACAGGAGAGCUUGCUCUCUGGGUGGCGAGUGGCGGACGGGUGAGGAAUACAUCGGAAUCUACCUUUUCGUGGGGGAUAACGUAGGGAAACUUACGCUAAUACCGCAUAAGACCUUCGGGUGAAAGCCGGGGACCUUCGGGCCUGGCGCGGAUAGAUGAGCCGAUGUCGGAUUAGCUUGUUGGCGGGGUAAAAGCCCACCAAGGCGACGAUCCGUAGCUGGUCUGAGAGGAUGAUCAGCCACACUGGAACUGAGACACGGUCCAGACUCCUACGGGAGCAGCAGUGGGAAUAUUGGACAAUGGGG